CAACUAUGAUUAUACUCAGAACUUGUUGAAAGUUUUGAUACUUGAUGAAACCAUCAACAGUAAUGUUGAUCCUGAGCAGCAGUUA
rnacentral:snoRNA from 1 species